GGUUCGGCCUUGGCAUCCUCUUGAGGAACGUUUCUGCGCUUGAUUGCGUGGAGCGGUAUUCAAGACUUUUACUUUGAGGAAAUUAGAGUGUUCACGGCAGGCAAGCGCCUUGAAUACAUUAGCAUGGAAUAAUAAUAUAGGAUCUUGGUUCUAUUUUGUUGGUUUCUAGAGCUAAGGUAAUGAUUAAUAGGGAUAAUUGGGGGCAUUUGUAUUAACGCGUCAGAGGUGGAAUUCUUGGAUUGCGUUACGACAAACUACUGCGAAAGCAUUUGCCAAGGAUGUUUUCAUUGAUCAAGAGCGAAAGUAUGGGGAUCGAAGAUGAUUAGAUACCGUCGUAGUCUAUACCAUAAACUAUGCCGACUAGGGAUUGGAGGUCGUUCUUUUUAUGACUCCUUCAGCACCUUAUGAGAAAUCAAAGUCUUUGGGUUCCGGGGGGAGUAUAGUCGCAAGGCUGAAACUUAAAGGAAUUGACGGAAGGGCACCACCAGGAGUGGAGCCUGCGGCUUAAUUUGACUCAACACGGGGAAACUUACCAGGUCCGGACUUAGUAAGGAUGUACAGAUUGAUAGCUCUUUACAGAUUCUAAGGGUGGUGGUGCAUGGCCGUUCUUAGUUGGUGGAGUGAUUUGUCUGGUUAAUUCCGUUAACGAACGAGACCUUAACCUGCUAAAUAGCGCUGAGUUUCUUUUCGAAACGAAGGUGUCUUCUUAGGGGGA
rnacentral:rRNA from 1 species